AACUCUCCCACAGGCGACGCUUCAGACGUCAACGGUGAUCCGUGGAGUGCAUUACAAAAGAACUUCGUCUACGUGUGGAGUAAAUUGAGUCUCACGUCCUUGUUUCUCUCUUGUUUGUAUGCUUUAGAUAGUACAGCUGUACCGAUGCUUGUACUGAUGUGUGGAGGCUUGUUUGAUAGAUAGAAUGUACCCUAUUUCCGCAAAUAGUGCCCUAUGCUCAAAUUGUGCCCCAUGCUCAAAUUAUGUUCCAUGGUGACCCUAUAACGAAAUAAUGCUUCAUGCUCGAUUAGUGCGUUAUGGGGUAGUAUUCAAGCCCAGUUAUCAUGCAUUCGUGUCUUUCUAUGUGUACGUUUGAGAUGAAAUGAACACCCAUGCAGAUAGAAUCACAGACUGACGAUGAAGAUUCAACGUAUGCAACAGACUAGGAAUACGACUCAAGUGAAGCGAAAGCAUCAAGGAUACAUACCAUGUGCUGAUGGUGCGUUUGGCAUGCUACAGGAAGAGAACAAGCAACUGAAAGAAAGAUUGCUGAUCUCUCACACUCGUGUGCACAAUCCAAAGUCGAGAACACAAGGUUACAGGAGGAAAGCAAACGACUGUCGUUGAAAGUGCAUGAGCUAGUGAAGGAGUUGAGCAUAAAGGAGGCCGAAUGGUGUGAAAAGAAAGAAAAAUUGAAACUAAAGCAGUUGCAAAUGAGUUGGGGAGAGCGUUAUCAUGAGUGGAUGCGUCAAACUGAGCUCAAAAUUCAAGAACUACAACAAACCAACUUUUCUUACGUAAAACGGUUUGCAAGAGCUCUGAAUGUGGCCAAAUUGACAAAAAUGAAGAAACUUGCUAAUAAUGUGUGAUCAAAUCGAGUUACUUCCGUGUGCCAGUGCCAUUGAAGUACAUGCACAUUUUUCCACAUGUUGUGUGCAAUUGGAACUUCUGUUUUGGUUGUCGAUGAUGCUAUGAAGCUAUAGAACAGUUAAGACCUUUUUAUUAAAAUGCUGAGACUUUUUGUUAUUUUUGUCAUUUAGUCAGAUCUAUUGUAUUGGCUUGUAGUAGUAUAGGCUGCUAGACCUACUGGCUCUAAGCCUCUGUUUCAGAUCGAGAACUAUGCCACUCAGUGUUCGAGGCCUAUACAGUGACAUGGCUGUAUUAGU